UACGUAGGGUGCGAGCGUUAAUCGGAAUUACUGGGCGUAAAGCGUGCGCAGGCGGUUCGUUGUGUCUGAUGUGAAAGCCCCGGGCUCAACCUGGGAAUGGCAUUGGAAACUGGCGAGCUAGAGUGUGGCAGAGGGGGGUGGAAUUCCGCGUGUAGCAGUGAAAUGCGUAGAGAUGCGGAGGAACACCGAUGGCGAAGGCAGCCCCCCUGGGCUGACACUGACGCCUCAGGCACGAAGCGUGGGGAGCAAACAGG
rnacentral:rRNA from 1 species